rnacentral:rRNA from 1 species
UACGUAGGUGGCAAGCGUUGUCCGGAAUUAUUGGGCGUAAAGCGCGCGCAGGUGGUUCCUUAAGUCUGAUGUGAAAGCCCACAGGCUCAACCGUGGAGGGUCAUUGGAAACUGGGGAACUUGAGUGCAGAAGAGGAAAGUGGAAUUCCAAGUGUAGCGGUGAAAUGCGUAGAGAUUUGGAGGAACACCAGUGGCGAAGGCGAGCUUU